AUGGAAAGAGAGGCUGCAAAGAUAUACACACCACCAAUAUACGCCAAAUUUGUGGAAGAGAUGAAAAAAACCACAGCUUACAGAGUUGAGGUCGUUGCUGCUGCUGGUGAAACAAGAGCAUUUCUUGUGACAAGGCGUGGCGAAUACCAGGACGCAGAGUUUUCAAAGAGGAUAUACACUGUGUCAAUAUCACCUGAUGAUGUCUACCGCUGCUCAUGUUCCAAGUUCAAUCGGGACGGUUUGCAUUGCUGCCACGUCCUAGGGGUAGCAAGACACAUUGGGUUGAGUAGCCUCCCUGAAAGCUUUAUAAAUCCUAGGUGGACAGUAGCUGCAGGGCAUGUGUUAGCUAUGAUGACGGAUGGAAAUGUUGGUCAAAAUGGACAGAGAACACACUUGACAGUCAGGCAUUCUAUAGUCAUGAGCCAGGUGUCGGACGCAUUGUCAAACGAAUGCACGGACGACAGGUCGUACGACCUGUUCGUGGAAGGAAUUGGUGAGGCAAUAAACAAAGUCAGGUUAGACAAGCGGCUCCGCCAAGAACAACAACUCUCAGGUGGGAAGCGACGGUGUAUUGAUGAUCCUCAGCAACUGAAUGUUGAUGCCAGGCAGGAGGGGGAUGGCGACCUGCAUAUCCCUACGCAGGUGCAUCAAAACAUUGUGUCUACCAUUGGUGCGUCUAGCAUGGGUGGCGUUGAGGUGCAUCAAACAUUUGGGUUGAGAGACCCCCCGCUGUCACGCACAAAAGGUUUCAACCUUGGUGAUAGGCCAAAGUCCAUGUAUGAAAAGGCUUCUGAUAAGCUUAAGAAACAAAAAGCAGUAAGGAAGUGUUCCAAGUGCAGGCUGCCAGGCCAUAAAAAGCCACAAUGCCCCCAAAAUAAUCCGGUGACAUAA
rnacentral:rRNA from 1 species